ACGGGUGAGCUUAUUUCCUGUUACUGUGCUCUACCCUACUAGCUACUACAGCAGAACUGAGGAAUUUUCAGUUUUACUACCAAAUAAGUAGAAUUUAACAAUCAACUUCUUCUGAAAUUUUUUCGAGUGACAUUUGAAUAUGACCUACUCAUCAAACAGAUGAGAGGUCAUUUUGCUGAAUUCACCCUUCUGGGUUCUACGGAACAGCACGUGCGACAAAAGUUGUUCCAAAUAUUCCAUUAAUGAACUGGCUUUCUUAACAACGCCGACCGUUACAUCCGGGAAGGUCAACGCCGUCGAUCCAAAGAAGCUCCCUUCAACCCAAUCAACGCGACUGACGUAAUCACCCUUGAAUCAGAGAAGAAAUAAAAUCCUCGACUAAUCGAAGAAGCUUUCAAAGAGAGUGAAAAUAACGAAUUAACUGGCUUCAAACGUAUCCGAGAUCAAAACAUUCAAAAAAAAGUCUAAUUAUCAAGGCCUUGCUCAUUACUGUAUUUGCCGAGGCAAACCCCAAGGAGGAAUGAUCGAAUGCUCGAUCUGCUUGUGAUGAUUCUAUCUUUCGUGUUAAGGAGGAGCGAAACAACAAGGUCCAGGGGCCAAAAAGAAGACAAAUAAUGAAGGCAAUGCAAUCAGCGGAAUCAAAGAUGGCCGUUACCUCUGUGGCUUUUUUGUCGUUCAAGACGGACUCGUCUUGAAACGAUCCUCUCGCUGAUGUGACGUUAUAAAAACUUCCUUUUCGAUUACCCGAGAGUGAAACUCUUCAAUAUGUCUCACAGAGAGGGCCAUGAACUGGCAGGAUCGAGGCUGCUAUCUACUGAUGAGUUAACAGCAUGUUUGUCUCAAUUAUCUACCAUUAUGCAACGAGCUACUGACGCUUCUUCUCAGAAGAAAAUAUAGGUUAUAAGAGUGGAUUCAAUUAACUUCAAAAAUUGUCAGUGCACCGCGAUUUCUACAAUGGCAACGAAGAGUCACAGGACAGCGAAUGUACGACUAAAGACGGUAUUUCAGAAGUUGUCGAACAACCUCCAGCGUUCAACAACUCAGAACAUGCGAAUUCUUUGUUUUCUAGAGAUGGCUCGAAUUGUAUCACUUCUAACAAGAAGAAUUCACGCAAAUCUCCGUUAGUUCCUCGACAGCUAAACUCAUUCGUGUGGACAACGCCAUCAAACGUUUCAUCCGAUUUCAUCAUCAUGAUCACAUAAUGUUCCUCUUACAACUCUUUCUUCUCAAUUAAACUGCUGAAGAUCUCAUCCUCGAGGGUGAUUCACUCGAAGUGUCGCUCGACGAAACGGAUCCAUAUAGGAAGGAUUCUUCAGGAUCGAUUCUGCUAUCUACUGAAGAAUUCAACGGUUUCUGGUUGUUGGACUCGGUGCGGGAAAAAAAAAUGUAAAAUUAAAUCCACGAAUGAGUGUUCCUUGUUUACAGUGAUGUGAAAUAAAUGAAAAUCAUGAACUG